rnacentral:tmRNA from 1 species
GGGGGCGAAAUAGGUUUCGACAGGAAGAAAUCUUUGAUAAUGUUGCCUGUCAAGUUUGUCAGGGUCUUGUAAAAACCUGACAAAAAAUAACUGCCGCAACAGCAAAUACUUUGGCUGCAUAAAAGCAGUCACCCAUUUACAGAGUUUGCCUCUGACUCUGUAAAAUGGGUCGGUUAAGAGGCAUCUUGUUUAAAGGUUAUCCUUUUCCCUAAACAAGAUUAUUAAAAAGGAUGCGAGUAAAAAGGCCUGUCAGAAGUGCCUUUUUACUCUAAGAAUAAACUUCUGACUAUGCAGGUAGAGACAUUAUCAAAGGUCUUCCUGGACGCGGGGGCAGUACCCGCCGCCUCCACAA